rnacentral:rRNA from 1 species
GACGUAGGGUGCAAGCGUUGUCCGGAUUUACUGGGCGUAAAGAGCGCGUAGGCGGUCUUGUAAGUGUGAAGUGAAAUCUCCAGGGCUCAACCCGGAAACUGCUUUGCAUACUGCGAGACUAGAGGGAUGCAGAGGUUUGUGGAAUUCCUGGUGUAGCGGUGAAAUGCGUUGAUAUCAGGAGGAACACCCAUGGCGAAGGGCAGCAAACUGGGCAUCGAGUCUGAC